rnacentral:rRNA from 1 species
CGUGCCAGCAGCCGCGGUAAUACAGAGGCCUCAAGCGUUGUUCGGAAUCACUGGGCGUAAAGGGUGCGUAGGCGGCGCGGAAAGUCAGGGGUGAAAUCCCGGAGCUCAACUCCGGAACUGCCUUUGAUACUCCCGCGCUUGAGAACUGGAGGGGACAUCGGAAUUCACGGUGGAGCAGUGAAAUGCGUGGAUAUCGUGAGGAACACUAGUGGCGAAGGCGGAUGUCUGGACAGUAUCUGACGCUGAGGCACGAAGGCCAGGGGAGCGAACGGGAUUAGAUACCCCGGUAGUCCUGGUAGUAAACGGUGCACGCUUGGUAUGGGGGGAAUCGACCCCUCCCGUGCCGGAGCUAACGCGUUAAGCGUGCCGUCUGGGAAGUACGGUCGCAAGAUU